AAAGAGGAGCGUACACAGGGUGGAGAGCUGCAGUUCCAAACAGAAGUAGAAAUGAUCAGCAUGGCUGUACAUAGGAAUUUGCUUCGUCUACGUGGCUUUUGCAUGACUCCUACAGAACGAUUACUUGUCUAUCCAUUUAUGGUCAAUGGAAGUGUAGCUUCAUGUUUAAGAGAGCGUCAGGAGUCACAACCCCCACUUGAUUGGCCAAAACGGAAGCAAAUUGCAUUAGGUGCUGCUCGAGGACUGGCUUAUUUGCAUGAUCAUUGUGAUCCUAAGAUUAUUCAUCGUGAUGUCAAAGCUGCAAAUAUAUUGUUGGAUGAAGAAUUUGAAGCAGUUGUUGGAGACUUUGGAUUGGCUAAACUCAUGGACUACAAAGACACUCACGUUACCACUGCAGUUCGUGGCACAAUUGGGCAUAUAGCCCCUGAGUACCUAUCUACUGGAAAGUCUUCUGAGAAGACUGAUGUUUUUGGGUAUGGUGUCAUGCUUCUUGAACUGAUCACCGGACAGAGGGCUUUCGAUCUUGCUCGCCUUGCAAAUGAUGAUGAUGUGAUGUUGCUUGAUUGGGUGAAAGGGCUUCUGAAAGAAAAGAGACUGGAGACAUUAGUUGAUGGUGAUCUACAGGGCAAUUAUGAUAAUGAUGAGGUGGAGCAGUUGAUUCAAGUGGCUUUGCUGUGCACACAAAGUUC
rnacentral:misc_RNA from 1 species